rnacentral:rRNA from 1 species
GAUGAACGCUGGCGGCGUGCCUAAUACAUGCAAGUCGAGCGAACGGACGAGAAGCUUGCUUCUCUGAUGUUAGCGGCGGACGGGUGAGUAACACGUGGAUAACCUACCUAUAAGACUGGGAUAACUUCGGGAAACCGUAGCUAAUACCGGAUAAUAUUUUGAACCGCAUGGUUCAAAAGUGAAAGGCGGUCUUGCUGUCACUUAUAGAUGGAUCCGCGCUGCAUUAGCUAGUUGGUAAGGUAACGGCUUACCAAGGCAACGAUGCAUAGCCGACCUGAGAGGGUGAUCGGCCACACUGGAACUGAGACACGGUCCAGACUCCUACGGGAGGCAGCAGUAGGGAAUCUUCCGCAAUGGGCGAAAGCCUGACGGAGCAACGCCGCGUGAGUGAUGAAGGUCUUCGGAUCGUAAAACGCUGUUAUUAGGGAAGAACAUAUGUGUAAGUAACUGUGCACAUCUUGACGGUACCUAAUCAGAAAGCCACGGCUAACUACGUG